rnacentral:rRNA from 1 species
UACGAAGGGGGCUAGCGUUGCUCGGAAUCACUGGGCGUAAAGGGUGCGUAGGCGGGUCUUUAAGUCAGGGGUGAAAUCCUGGAGCUCAACUCCAGAACUGCCUUUGAUACUGAGGAUCUUGAGUUCGGGAGAGGUGAGUGGAACUGCGAGUGUAGAGGUGAAAUUCGUAGAUAUUCGCAAGAACACCAGUGGCGAAGGCGGCUCACUGGCCCGAUACUGACGCUGAGGCCACGAAA